rnacentral:rRNA from 1 species
GAUGAACGCUGGCGGCGUGCCUAAUACAUGCAAGUCGAGCGAACAGUUGAGGAGCUUGCUCCUCUGACGUUAGCGGCGGACGGGUGAGUAACACGUGGAUAACCUACCUAUAAGACUGGGAUAACUUCGGGAAACCGGAGCUAAUACCGGAUAAUAUAUUGAACCGCAUGGUUCAAUAGUGAAAGACGGUUUUGCUGUCACUUAUAGAUGGAUCCGCGCCGCAUUAGCUAGUUGGUAAGGUAACGGCUUACCAAGGCAACGAUGCGUAGCCGACCUGAGAGGGUGAUCGGCCACACUGGAACUGAGACACGGUCCAGACUCCUACGGGAGGCAGCAGUAGGGAAUCUUCCGCAAUGGGCGAAAGCCUGACGGAGCAACGCCGCGUGAGUGAUGAAGGUCUUCGGAUCGUAAAACUCUGUUAUUAGGGAAGAACAAAUGUGUAAGUAACUAUGCACGUCUUGACGGUACCUAAUCAGAAAGCCACGGCUAACUACGUG